UUGGGGUCCACUUCGGUGGCGCGCACACAGUUGCUGCAUGGCUGUCGUCAGCUCGUGUCGUGAGAUGUUGGGUUAAGUCCCGCAACGAGCGCAACCCACGUCCUUAGUUGCCAUCAUUCAGUUGGGCACUCUAGGGAGACUGCCGGUGAUAAGCCGCGAGGAAGGUGUGGAUGACGUCAAGUCCUCAUGGCCCUUACGGGAUGGGCUACACACGUGCUACAAUGGCGGUGACAGUGGGACGCGAAGGAGCGAUCUGGAGCAAAUCCCCAAAAGCCGUCUCAGUUCGGAUUGCACUCUGCAACUCGNGUGCAAAAAGCCGG
rnacentral:rRNA from 1 species